rnacentral:rRNA from 1 species
UACAGGGAGCCGUGCGUAUUCGAUUGUGGUACGUAAGGUGUGUAGGCGGCCCGGUAAGUCCGCUGUGAAAGUCGGGGCUCAACCCUCGAUGCCGGUGGAUACUGUCGGGCUAGAGUGCGGGAGAGGCGAGUGGAAUUCCUGGUGUAGCGGUGAAAUGCGCAGAUAUCAGGAGGAACACCAAUUGCGAAGGCAGCUCGCUGGAACGUAACUGACGCUGAGACGCGAAAGCGUGGGAGCAAACAGG